rnacentral:rRNA from 1 species
GAUGAACGCUGGCGGCGUGCUUAACACAUGCAAGUCGAACGGUGAAGCAGGAGCUUGCUCCUGUGGAUCAGUGGCGAACGGGUGAGUAACACGUGAGCAAUCUGCCCUGGACUCUGGGAUAAGCGUUGGAAACGACGUCUAAUACCGGAUACGAGGCGUGGGGGCAUCCCCAACGCCUGGAAAGAACUUCGGUCCAGGAUGAGCUCGCGGCCUAUCAGCUAGUUGGUGAGGUAACGGCUCACCAAGGCGACGACGGGUAGCCGGCCUGAGAGGGUGACCGGCCACACUGGGACUGAGACACGGACCAGACUCCUACGGGAGGCAGCAGUGGGGAAUAUUGCACAAUGGGCGCAAGCCUGAUGCAGCAACGCCGCGUGAGGGACGACGGCCUUCGGGUUGUAAACCUCUUUUAGCAGGGAAGAAGCGAAAGUGACGGUACCUGCAGAAAAAGCACCGGCUAACUACGUGCCAGCAGCCGCCGUAAGAC